rnacentral:rRNA from 1 species
AUUGGACGCUGGCGGCAUGCCUUACACAUGCAAGUCGAACGGCAGCACGGGUGCUUGCACCUGGUGGCGAGUGGCGAAUGGGUGAGUAAUACAUCGGAACAUGUCCUGUAGUGGGGGAUAGCCCGGCGAAAGCCGGAUUAAUACCGCAUACGAUCCACGGAUGAAAGCGGGGGACCUUCGGGCCUCGCGCUAUAGGGUUGGCCGAUGGCUGAUUAGCUAGUUGGUGGGGUAAAGGCCUACCAAGGCGACGAUCAGUAGCUGGUCUGAGAGGACGACCAGCCACACUGGGACUGAGACACGGCCCAGACUCCUACGGGAGGCAGCAGUGGGGAAUUUUGGACAAUGGGCGAAAGCCUGAUCCAGCAAUGCCGCGUGUGUGAAGAAGGCCUUCGGGUUGUAAAGCACUUUUGUCCGGAAAGAAAUCCUUGGCUCUAAUACAGUCGGGGGAUGACGGUACCGGAAGAAUAAGCACCGGCUAACUACGUG